rnacentral:pre_miRNA from 2 species
UUAGCAAGUUAUGUUGACUGUCACAUGUCAUGUUCUGAUUGGAUGUCAAUUCCAUGAAAAAUGAAAUGCAUUGUUGUUUUCAUUGACCAAUCAGAACAUGACACGUGGUCGUCAUCAUCC